rnacentral:rRNA from 1 species
CCUCUUGCAAAAUCAACGAAUAAGAGGUCCCGCCUGCCCUGUGACUAUAUGUUUAACGGCCGCGGUAUUUUGACCGUGCGAAGGUAGCGCAAUCACUUGUCUUUUAAAUGAGGACCUGUAUGAAUGGCAUCACGAGGGCUUAGCUGUCUCCCCUCCCCAGUCAAUGAAAUUGAUCCCCCCGUGCAGAAGCGGGGAUAAAAACUUAAGACGAGAAGACCCUAUGGAGCUUUAGGCGUUAGAGCAGCUCAUGUUAAACACCCCCAAACAAAGGGAUAAACCAAAUGAACCCUGCUUUCAUGUCUUUGGUUGGGGCGACCGCGGGGAAAUACAAAACCCCCAUGUGGAAUGGGCGCGCACACUCCUAAACCCAAGAGCUCCCGCUCUAAUAAACAGAAAUUCUGACCAACAAGAUCCGGCACAUGCCGAUCAACGGACCGAGUUACCCUAGGGAUAACAGCGCAAUCCCCUUAAAGAGCCCUUAUCGACAAGGGGGUUUACGACCUCGAUGUUGGAUCAGGACAUCCUAAAGGUGCAGCCGCUAUUAAGGGUUCGUUUGUUCAACGAUUAAAGUCCU